AUUGAACGCUGGCGGCAGGCCUAACACAUGCAAGUCGAGCGGAUGAAGGGAGCUUGCUCCUGGAUUCAGCGGCGGACGGGUGAGUAAUGCCUAGGAAUCUGCCUGGUAGUGGGGGAUAACGUCCGGAAACGGGCGCUAAUACCGCAUACGUCCUGAGGGAGAAAGUGGGGGAUCUUCGGACCUCACGCUAUCAGAUGAGCCUAGGUGGGAUUAGCUAGUUGGUGGGGUAAAGGCCUACCAAGGCGACGAUCCGUAACUGGUCUGAGAGGAUGAUCAGUCACACUGGAACUGAGACACGGUCCAGACUCCUACGGGAGGCAGCAGUGGGGAAUAUUGGACAGUGGGCGAGAGCAUGAUACAGCCAUGCCGCGUGUGUGAAGAAGGUCUUCGGAUUGUAAAGCACUUUAAGUUGGGAGGAAGGGCAGUAAGUUAAUACCUUGCUGUUUUGACGUUACCAACAGAAUAAGCACCGGCUAACUUCGUG
rnacentral:rRNA from 1 species